UGGCAGUGCGCGUCCCCGCGGGUCCCCCAGGGGGCGCGCUCCGACCGCGCAGCCGCGGCAGCGGCACCUCCAGGGACCCAUCGUAAUUACCACGAUCGCAACCACAGCAGUGGCAUUAAUAAUAGUCGUAACAAUAAUCGUAGUGCUAUAAUAAACAAGUAAACCUGCGCUAUUUCUCAGUCAGCCUCUAUCGUCAUUACAUCCUUGUUUCUGGACUUUUUUCCCCCUCCUGUCUUUUGCUUGGAGCUUCAGGUUGAAGCUCCUGGCUGUUGCAGCGCUGAGGCAUCCUCCCUGCCACCCAUGCACACAUGCAAAGAUGGAGCAAACAGGACAGGAGUAGGGGCACAAUAAAUCCUUAUAGGUCCCCAGUCUUUCCCCUCAAUUACUGACCUUUGCUGAUGAACACAGUUGUACGAGUAGUUCUUCACAGAUACAUUUCUUGCGUACUGGGUGGGAUGAGGUUAGCUCAGUGCAGAUCUGGCUGCCUCCUGCUGCUCUUGCCCAACACACGUCCUCAUUUAUCCUCACAGAACCAGGGCUCAGGCAAACCUUUAGCACCAAGCAGAUUUCCCAGGUGCACAGGUGACUGCUAAAUUGCACUAAUGUUAGAUGAGAAAAAGAGAAAGUCAAGUGAGGAGAGCAGCAAAUUCUCCAGGUUAAGAUGGCAGGUAGGUUAAGAUGACAGAUUUUGCUCCCCGCUCCUACUUAAUCAACUAUAUUAACUUGUUUUUCAGUGGAUUUUCUCCUUUUCUGAGUCUCACCACACCCUGCAGUGUCAGGGGAAUGUGUUAAGAACAUUCUGCUAUCCAGGGAAGGGCAUAGUUUUCUAAUCUGUGCACAAGGAAUAAGAGAGAGAGAGAGAUUUGGAGUUUAUAGACAGCUGAAUACUAACAUAAAUGAAUUUGAAGGAGACAGCUGACUGUCUGACAGUUGUCCAUCAACAUGAUGGGGAGAGACUGCUUCCAUUGCAGCUCUGGCAACAAGAGCAGCACACCCUGACCAUUUGGGCAUGCCAUUGGCUUCAGGUUGCUCACAGGCUCCCAGGAAAGCCUAGAAAGCCCAUGAUGUCUCAGUCCAACACUACUUCAGAACCUCAUUUUGUGUUAUCAUAGAACACAUAUAUUCUAUGCACAGUGAUAGAAGACAUGACACUGCAAAAAAUUUGCCUUACAACUCACAGUGUCAAAAUGAUCAGUCCUGGUGAAGGAAGGAAAGCAUUAGAUGUGUGUAUUUCUACCCCGUGUUCAGCAAACUAUAGAGGGUUUUAAAGUGAAUGUGAGCCACGCAGGACUAGAAAAGAUUUCCAUGUCCCAUGUAACCCUAGGGACCAAACCAGAGCACGGACCGCUGGUGGUGGAAGGGUUGUCUCAGUGUAAUGCUCCUCCUAGCAGCCCCUUUGCUAAAUUCUCCAUUUGUUCUUUCUUUCUUCCACUAAGGUAACCUUGCUCCAAGAGAAGGCAGUUUCCCAAAGACUCCUUAGCUAAUUUUAGAAAAAAGGGCUAACUUGCCCCAUUUAUUCUCAGUGUUAAGAGUGAAAGAGCCUUUCUGCACCAAUGGCUUUUUCUCUGCUUGCACCAGUGUGAGCAAGGAACAAGUCUGACUUUAACAGAAGAGAUAAAAAUAAAACCAGCAAUGGACAAAGUCAAUUAUAUUCCCCAUUGCCUAGGGAUGGGCAACCUAAUUUGCAGCUGACAGUAGUUUGAUGGACUGAACCAUCCUUUUUCUGAUCCAGCAUUCAGAGUAAUUUUUAUUGUAAACCAAUCAUUAUAGUGUAGGACUCUCAGUACUACCAGUGUCACCAUAAAAAUUCCCAAGGCAACACUAGUGUUGCUGCUGGGGUUUUUCCUUCCAUCCUUCACAACCUGACGUACUCUGGGAGAUGCUGGACACAGCACACCGUGCCCUGUUCUCAUCACGAGCCCUGGGCAGAACAACCAAUGGGUUGUGUGAGCAUAACGGUGCCAAACGUGAUGGUACCAGCACCAGGGGACACGUUCCCACUCUCAUUGCUGUCAUUUUGGCAGGGAUGCUAAAUUUAGUCUACUGGUUCGGAAUAUGCAUACAGCACAUUAAGCUGGGGGCUUAGCAGGGCACUCCAGCAUCUUCAUCUGUGAUUGGCUCUGAUUUUGCUUCUUUUUGUGGUUUAUAGGUCAUAAAAUUACAAUUUUACUCCCUAAGGAUAUUGUACUAGUUUGUGUCCAACAUCUGUGCACUCUAGUAAUUGCUAAGGCUUAGUGCAGUGUCCUUAUCUUCCCUGAACUGGGGUAGAAGUGAGGCUUCAGCCCAGUCUACAUUGGUCAGCACCGUACUCCAUUGGAGCCAGCUGGAUUUUAUUCUCACCAGAACCUGAGCAAUUUAUUUUGCAAAGCCAAAUCCCUGUUUGUUGGGGUUUUUUGUUGUUGUUGGUUUUGUUUUUUUGGGUUUUGGGGUUUUUUGUUUUUUUUUUUUGGAGAUGUGGGACUUCACUGUUCUGCAAUGGAAGUACCUCACACUGCGUUAUAUAAGCUGUGGUUUGCACAGAUAGGAGGAAAUUUAGAAAAAGUAACCUGGAAGGUACCUGCAGGGCUGAGAUCCACGGCUCCUGCAGACGGUUUGCCCUACAUUCCCCUCCCAUCUCUGUGAGAGCACACAGUGUACCCAGAAGGCUGCAGUUACUCUUCUUUCCCCACAUUUCUGCUUAGCUGUGAAAUCUGUGCCUUCCUUCUUUCCACUCUAGUAUCCAUCAAGGACUGAUUAACAAAUGAUAGACAGACACCUACUAUUGCUAACAGGAAGAACAAAAGCCUAUAAUUUUCAUAAGACAGAUCACUGAGACUGCUCUCCUAUUGCACAGUCUUAUCAAUACCUCUACUGCCAAAGCACAGCCUGAAAGGAGCCUGAUUAAAGCUGUCAUGUCAGCCCAGAGAUGGUGAGGCAGGGUUGUGGUAACUGUGCACCUUUGCUUCUGCUGUUUCCAUGCUUUGUCUUCAGCACAGUGACAUGAACAUAAAAGUAAUCAUGCACUGAAACGCUAUAAGGAGCAAACCAUGUAUUUCAAGGAGCAGACCAUGUAUUUCCUACACUCAAAUAUUUGUUUUUAUAUCGAUCAAACAUAUAUAUUGAUUGUAUAAGAUAAAAAAAAUCAAAGUGAAGGUAGAGGAAUAUUCUCAUUUGUUGUGGUAGAAUUUAAAAGUACCAAUAGUUCAGGUAAAAAUCUUAGAAUCACAUAAGUGAAGUGAACUUAACAAGAAACCAAACACAGUGUUUGUGCCUCUUUACCUAAAUAAGUGCUUCGCCUUCCAUGAAUUUGGCUUGCUUUAGGUACUUUGUUUUACAACAGGCAGAUGUGGUCAAGCAGCACACUGUGUCCAGGCAGAGUCUUCCGGAAGCAUCUCCAGGUGCUCCUGGAAGAGGCUGUGCAGCACUUAUAUCCUACCACCAACAUGCAUCUGGAGAGAAUCAUAGAACAGUUUGGGUUGAAAGAGACAUUUAAGAUCAUCUAGUUCCAACUCUCCUGCUAUAAGCAGGAACACCUCCCUCUAGACUAGGUUGCUCACAGCCCCAUCCAACCUGGGCUUGAACACCUCUGGGGAGGGGUCAUCCACAGCUUCACUGGGCAACCUGUUCCUGUGUCUCACCACCCUCACAGUAAAGAAUUUCAUCCUGAUAUCCAGCCUCAAUCUACCCACUUCCAGUUUAAAACUGUUUCCCCUCAUCCUGUCACUACCUGCCCUUAUAAAAAGUCCCUCCCCAUCUUUCCUGUAGACCCUCUUCAGGUCCUGGAAGGCCGCUAUAAGGUCCCCUUGGAGCCUUCUCUUCUCCAGGCUGAAGAGCCCCGGUUCUCUUAGCCUGUCCCCAUAGGGAAGGUGCUCCAGCCCUCUGAUCAUCUUUGUAGCCCUCCUCUGAGCCCUCUCCAACAGCUCCAUAACCUUCUUGCGUUGGAGGCCCCAGAACUGAAUAUGCGUGUAUCUCCCAGCUGUAUUUUUGGGGGUGCAAUUUGGUAGAGGAGCUGCUGAAAGGGAGGAAGGUUCUCCAUUUCCCAACAAGGAGAGCUCACAGUUGGGUUCCCAGGAGCCACCUGCACAGGGCGUGUGUGUGGCUGCACGUCCCCGCGUGCACAGCUUGGAAAGCUUGCUGAGACAUGCAGGAAUAUUUUGCUAUGGGGCCGCAGCGGCUGUCGGCAAUUCUGGGAUGUCUGUGUGGAACUGGGGUGAGAACGGUGCCCUUGUCUCUGUGGCGCAGAUGGAAGCGAUAAGUCCUUGCAGAUCUGCUUCAAGAGCGGUCCUGUGAAAGGAAACAGAUUGCCUGGGGCCAGACAUUUAGAGGGUCUUACGCUUCUUUUUGCACUUGCAAAGUGCAUGUUCUCUUAGCCUGUUCUCUCAGGUGAAAUAUUGCCCUUCCAGAACAGACUUGCAUGGGGAAAUGUCCUGCGGUGCACACCCCUGCCGUGUGUUGCACUGAGCUGCCAGCAUGCAUCCUAGGGCAUCCUCAUGCAGAGAAAUUCCUAUCAAUGGGAAGGCCACCAUGAAUCCAGUUUUUGCUACCUAUCUUCAUUUUUCCACAGUUCUUUUCUGUGUUAAAAGCUUCCCCACACUCACAGUUGCUCUUCCCAAGGUCGGUGUUCAUGUGCUUGUCAUCCAACCUGCUUUGCUUGGAAUUUCCAUUGAAAUUCUGAUAAAAGUGCUUGGUGUUGCAUCAAGUUCUCAUCAAUUUCACUACCAUUUCAUUUAGGAAAAAAAAAAAGAGGUUAAAGUGUUGCAUUACAUAAAAAGAAUUUCUAAUAUUUUUUAACAUUUACUUUUUGAAACAACUUUCAUUUUGAGUUUCUAACAGAUUAGGGUUGCAUUAUAUAUGUUCUGAUGGUAUUAAAAAAAAUAGAAGGAAGCUAAACUAAAACAUUUUAAUCCAUGGAAAAUGGCUUUUCCCACACAUGCUUUGGACAGAUGUUGAAAUUGUGUCACAGUUUAGAAUGAGACUGAAUUAUUUUUUUUUUCCUAAUGAAACAAUACUUUCAUUUUUACAUGGCAGUUAUACAAUUUCAGUUUGUUCAUCAUAGAAUCAUAGAAUGGCCUGGAUUAAAAAGGACCACAAUGAUCAUCCACUUUCAACCACCUUGCUAUGUGCAGGGUUGCCAACCACCAGACCAGCCUGCCCAGAGACUGGUUUACACUGAAUGUAGAUUGUGGUCAAAAUUUAACAAUUGGAAAGGUCCCUUCCAACCCAAGCCAUUCUGUGAUUCUAUGAUUCUUCAGAAUAAUCUUCAAUGAGUUAGAUCCGACUGUGAUUGCUGCAAAACUUAGUCAGUUAUUUUUAUUACAUGAUCAGUUUUCCUCAAAGCCUGUCUUCUGGGUAGAUUUUAAUACAUCUAAAUACCUUAAUAUUGUUUUCUCAAAGGAGGAAAACAUUCUAACUCAUCCUAGGGAUUAUAAAAGUAGUAAUUUUCUCACAACUGGCCCUUAAUACAGCUAAUAGCUCUUGGCGUCACCUUAGGAUGGUUAACAAGGCCAUCAUUAACUGUGGUUAAUGAAAAAGUAAUUAAACUUUUUAAAAUCUAAUCCUGGAUGACAAAUCAUUAUAAAUCGUGCCCUUGGUUAUUCGUGUCACUAAUGUGAAUAAAUGAGUUUUAAGGUCUAUAUAUGCAUAAAACAAAACUGUAAGCAAACAUAGCAUGAAUCCUGCUGGUUGUCAAUAGCUAUUUUUUUUCAAUCGCUUUUAAUACUUCUUAAAAUGUCCAUGACUUUGGGUGUAAUUUUUUGAAGAUUUAAGAAGAAACCUUAACAUUUUGUGUGAGAAUCCCAAAAUCUGCUGUGGGAUUAUCCUCACUGACUUGGAAGAUCAUCAGCCAAACUGUGGAGAUUUGAAAGACGGAGGGCAGAGGUAUUGCAAAUCUAGCAAGACACAGUUCAGCAAAGCAACCUAACUGGAUUUCAACUCUUAUAAGCUGUCAAUAGAAACAGGAGACAGUAAAUUAAUAUAUAUAUUUUUUUCUGUUUUGAGUGCGCCUAAGAGAACUCAAUAAAGAAAUAGAAAUAGGAUCAAUACAUUCUGUCUGAAAAUCAGUUUAGAAGGAGCCACGGUGUCUCAAGGAGGAAACACUAACUAGUUAAAAAGCCUUUCACGAAACAAGUUAGAAACCUUCUGGUAAAUCCUUUGGAUGUUUCAGACAUACUGGCAUUAACUCAUAACCACCCAAACACUUCCCAUAUACGAUCAGUCCUAUUUAUGGCUUUUAGGUCAUAGAAUCACAGGAUCAUGAAGGUUGGGAAAGACCUCUCCGAUCCCCAAGCACAACCCCAGCCCACUCCACCAUGCCCACUGCCCACGUCCCUCAGUGCCAUAUCCAAAUGUUUCUGGAGCACCCUCAGGGAUGGUGACCCCACCGUUCUCUGGGCAGCCUGUGCCACUGCAUCACAGCUCUUUGAGAGAAGAAAUGUUUCCUAAUACCCAACCUGCUGUCAGGCUGAUACUGCCAAAACUCUUGUUAUUACCGGUAAAAUCUGCUUUGUGCUGUCAGAGCACCCUGAGGAGCUUGGAGGGCUGGAGCAGGGCACAGCCCUCUCCUCACACCUGGAGUUGGAGCUGCCUGGGACCACCAGCCCCAUCCAUCUCGUACAAUUUCCCUCAGAUCCCUGGGGGGGCUGCACACACAGAGCCUUUCUGCUGAUGAGAAGAGAGGAUUUCCUUUAAAGUAACUCCUUCACACAAUGAGUUCUCUGCCCUUUCUUCAGGUGCUCUCAGUACUACCCAGGCUAUUCCUACUCCUCCUCUGGGGCCAGAGGACGUGACCUGCUUUCACUUUCUCUUUUCUCAUCUUUCUCCCCCUCCCAUAAGACUGCAGUGUGCUCUCUUUACAUUACUCCAAGGCCAAGAACAGCCCACUCUGGCUCACCUUGUGAUUCCUCAGACCACAUCCCUCGGAGAUGCUCCAUCUGUACUCCGUGCAUUCAGAUCUGUCACGCUGCAGGGUCACCUCCUUUGUGUGUCACGUUGUCCCCUUGACCGGGGUGCAGUCAUGCUUUAAGGUAAAGGCCGUUCUCAGUGAACUUUAGAGACCUAGAAGUUACUUAUGUGCAAAAGUUAUUCCUGUUGUCAAAAGCAAAAGUAUUUCCUGCCUAUCCUUACUGCUGAAAAAAGCCCAGAUUGAUUUAUUUUCAGAUUCAGAAAUCAGUUUUCCAAGCAUAAGAAUGUGUAAUAGAGCAAUUACGGGCAUUCCCCCAAAGCUGCAUUUAAAAAAACCUCCCAUGAGGAGCGUUUCAUGUAUUUGACUUGGAAAUGCUUUUAUUUUUAUAAAUUCCUUUUUUGGAAGAGUGAUGCAAUACUAUCCAUAACGCAUAGUAUUGCUUUGAGAGGUCGUGUUCUGCAGCCAGCAUUGCUGCUGCUUGUGAUGGGAAGGCACCGAGGCAGUGUGAGCAAACUUUCUUGGUGACAUUCACAGCUUUGUAAAAAAAAGACAUUUAAACUGAUGAUUUUUUUUUUUCAGCUGUAAUUUGGAAAAACCCUAAGAUGUAAUUAAAUCUGGUCACAACAUUUCUGUGAUUGAAGUGAUGGAUAACAGAUAGGUUAUGCUUAUCCCUGAUGUAACAGCAUUGUAGCAAACACUCCGUUUAUUGCAUUAUAUACGAUAUCAAGCAACGUUAGUCAUUCACAUAAAUAGCUCUGGUCUGAUUGAGUUUGAUUCCUUAUUAGGGAGAGUUCCACAGUGCAGAGUGUUGUACCAGUAAUAUAACACAGAAAUUGCUUCUAGCAUGUGGAACGUGCAAUUAUAAUAAGCAAAUAUUUAACUCAAACCAUGCUCUUGGGAUCACAGUGUCAAUAACAGAUAUAAAAAAACUAAUUGUUUCAUCAGCCUGAGGCGCAUGAGAAGGGGCUGGAGCCAAGGUGGGCUGCCAGGGCUGCCCUGCACAUGGAGCUUAGCUUAUGGGAAGGUGAUGAUUAAGGUGAUCAUAAAUGCAGGCUGAGAUUUGUUUUAUGAUCAAGAUAUUGAACACCAAAUUAAUAAGCAUCAAGUUAUGACAGUAAUAAAUGGCAAUGGCAUGGGAAUGGCGGAAGGAAAAGCUCGGACUGUCAGGCAGCUGCUUGCACACAGGUGUAACUGCUGCCUGGCUGCUGCUCUGGGAAGGAAAAAUGAUUUCUUUGCGACUUUCCCUUUUGUAUCCCUUCAACUGGGACAGUCGAGACCCAAAGAAGCCCUGACACAAAAUAAAGCUAAGAGCCAGAUUUCUGCUCCUUCAGAGCCUUCUGCCUUUCCCAGCGAGCUGACUGGUGCUGCAACGUGCUGCUAUUCAUCAGCAUUUUCAAGCAGGAGACAGACUCGUGAACUCUCAUUUUCUAUGGGAGAUUUCUUCUGGAGCCGGUGUUGCCAAGUGGUGAUUAGAUAAGAUGACACCCUGGGAAAUUCAAGAUGGAAUAAAAGCCCGAGCGGGUAUGCAGCCGAGCUGCAAGGCUAUCAGUCCUUAUUGAAGGGGCCUUCAUCUGGGACAUUCAGAGGGGCUCUUUUAAAAGCACGAGCUCACUAAUGAAGCUUAAUGGUUCUGAAUUGAUGGUACCUUGCAGCAGAAGCUGCUUAGAUGCUUAAUAAUGGCAUAAUCAUCGUCCGUCAGCCAUUUGGUUGGCACAGAAUGCUUAUGCCUGCAUUGUUCCAUUUAAGAUAGAUAUAUUUACAUUUACUGACAUUGCAUACUUUCAUAUCAUAUCCCUCUACAUGUAUCACAAUAUCCUUUGUUUUGAAGGUGGGGCUGCAGGGAUUUGGAUCAACUAACAUCAUGGGAAAUUUAGGAUGAACCAGAACUGGUGUGCCUUAUAGAAGUAGAACUGUUUUUUUCUGCCCCAAUUCCAGUGCUCUUUUAUGGAAAUCUAUCAUCACUUUGUAAGAGUUUGUGUGUCAGAAUGAAUUGAGUCAUUAAUCACAAAUACAUCAAGUGAGAUCUUGGAAUACAAGAUGUAUAUGAAUGCAUGUGAAAACUGUUGAAGGAACGAAAAGAACAGAUAAAAUGAGGCAGCAUAGCAAUGAAAAACAUUGAAUAGGAAAAGUAACAAAAGAAGGUGCUAAAAAAAAAAUCAAAGAAAAGGCAACUAUCAUAUACAGAUAAAGGGGAGACAUAGUUAGAAUUAAAUGCGAGAUAUUCCGUAUGCUUUUAAAUACAUCAGUUACAGAAAGCUGCCAUAAGAUGACAUUGUACUGCAUUAUACUAAGCACACAGAUUUUAUGGGCCUUGCACUCCCAACAUCUGAUGUAGAACAUAAGUCCAAGCACAAUGCUGUGCAGUGGAACUGAAGGAUAAGGACCAUUGGGAAGAUAUGCUCUUUCAGACUUUCAGGUACUACUGGAUUUAUUUCACAUUUCUGAAUGGAUUGCAUGAAAGUAAAUUUAAAAAAAAAUAGAAAAAUAUGUGGCACAAAUAAUGGGAUAUUCAGCUGGAUAAAAGCACCGUUGGAUCCCAUGCUACUCUACCAGUGACUUUGAUGGUGAUGUAAUCUCAGAGAAAGCACUGAAUCAUGCUAUCAAUUAACUUGAGUAACAAUGUAUAUACACAGGAAGUUUUGCAUAGCAGACAAAUUUUAGUAUUUUGUGAAAAAAAAAUGGUGAAGUGAUUGGAGGAUAUCUGUUAAUUAGCCAUACAUCUUUUUGAACAUUCACCUAAAGAGAACCAAGAACAGUGUUAGCAACAAUGUGAUACAAAAUAAUUAGCUUGUUUUCAGGGCUUAAAUAGUCAUUACUUUCUUGUGAAGUCCCUAAUUAAGCUAAUCCUAGUUUAUAAUACAUUAGCAACCACUCUUUAUGUGGAAGCUACUUCUUAGAGGAUAAAAAUAACUUCAAAGUUUGAAAUGCUCAAAAACGUAUGCAAAAAUGUAGAGCUCAGGACAGGAGAAAUACAGACGAAGAAAUUCCUGAUUUAUUCCUUGCUGCCCACGUGCUGUUUGUUCACCUGAAGGCUGCAGAUACAACUGCUUAAAGGCUCCAGUGAAACAAUUUCCCCCUUUCUGCUCUGAAAGCCUGUUACCACGGUUUUCUUAGGAGGUCCUGCUAUAACAUUACCCAGUUAUUUCCUAAGAACCGCAAAGGUAUUCUUUCUCACUGACUCACGCUCUAAUAGAUGAAGGACUCAUUUUCAGUUUGCUAUUUGACUUCAGUCAAAGGAAAAGAGCUGAUAAUACGAAGUUAACGUAACACAAAGCACAAACCCUGGGCUGCAGAACACAGUGGGCUCUGACCCUUAUCCACAGAGAAAAAAAACAAAAGUGAAGAGGUAGAAAUAAGCUCUGUUUUGGGACUGGGAGGCCUGCACCUAGCUGCUGCCAUUUGUUCACAGUGGGCAGAAUUAGUGUCUUUCUCCAGCUUUGUGCUUUGCUUGCUAAUUUACCCACGGUCAAGUGGAGGCAAUGUUGAGUUACAAAGCCCCAAAGACAUGCAGGAGUAAGUUCAUUUUAUGCAAGGUGAUGGAAUCAGCUGAUGUGGCAAAACCCAGCGCCAUGUGGCCUCCCAGCUGAAAGGAAUGAUUGAUUGAAAAAACUGCUGAAAACUUGGCCAGUGAAUGCUUCAAAGAGAUCAACAUGAAGCAGGGAAGGCUGGCUCUCCCUGCCCCUCAGAAUUACCACAACAAGGAGCCACGUCUCCCAUUUAAAAACAGAGCGGAACCUCUCACUUAAAUAAUUUGUAGAAGCUUUGCUAUCAGUUUAUGCUCAAACUAAAAACUGGGAAAGAUAACCACAGUGAGCACGAAAACACCUGAGAUCGACUUUAUAUACAGCAAGCUGCAGGAUUUCUACAAAACUAUUUAUCCAAACAUCUCACUGAAACUUGGGGCUGCCUCACCGCGUCAUGUAAUAUUCUGUCUGUUCCCCCUGCACUUACAUUCCUGGUACGGUAUCAAUAUUUCACAAACUCUUCUUACAUGGGCUGUUUAAUAUGUUGUAAGAGGCAAAACAUACAUGGUAUACGUAAGAGAAAGAGAUUUCCGGCCAAAGAUAUUUAACAGACCUAUGCAACCUAGCAAGAGGCAUAAAUCAAAACACAAGGACAUGCAAUACAGUGUGAUAAUGGUGUUCAGCGAUGUGGCUGUGUGUAUAUAUAAUGCUUAUUUCGAAUUGCCCUCUGCUCUAUUAGUCAGUGUUAGAGCUCCUGAGCAGCUGGAACUCGGCUCCUUCAGUCUGCCCAGCUGGAAUUCAAAUAGUCCUUAUUACACAUUAUGUACGUUCUCACUGUCUCAUGCUUUUUUUUUUUAUUUUUAUUUUUUAUUUUUAUUUUAUAUUUGAGCAGAGCACAUUGAAGUUAGAAAAGAUUAAGUGGAAUUAAACAUGGAUGCCAUUUUGCAGAGACAUUCCUCAGAAGACACACUCUUUUUUUUUUUCCCCCUAGAUUCUCCUUUAGCUGUGUUAGAUCUGACUGCAAAUGACAAUCUGUACACAGGAACCAGGCAUUUAUAUCCCUAUCAUCACUUAUUAACUGUUGAUAUUGUUGCUGACAGUGUAGCGAUAAUAAUAGGGGUUCUUUCAACACCUGGCCUCAAGAUGUAGUUUAUGACAUUCAAAAAAUAUCUCAAUGGAGCUGACAGGUGAAGGCAUGUUCAGAGGCAAUUCACAGCAGGAGCAGUAUAUAAGUGCCAUACAAAGCUGACUGUGACCUUGAGAAGUCUUUGCCAGCCCUUAGGAGCUGACUUAGGCAUUCAGAAGCAAAGUCAUUUUCUCUUAAUAAGGUAUCACUGUCUCCAUCUGUAAAUCACUCUACAGCGUCAGCGUGUUGUAGUUCGUGUAGCAAAAUGACUAAUAGGAAAUAAUAGUGUUGCAAUAGAGAGUAUAAGGAGAGCUGUGAUUUGAGUGAAAAACACACUACUGGAAAGCCAGCUGUUCCCACUUCCCUGACUAAUUGAAGGCAUGAAGUGAAUGCACUGAUGUGCUGAUUUCCUCCAACUUGCAUAAGAUGCGAGGUUCUUCGAAGAGGCAGUAGGCUUCUAAAUGGUUUGGGCCUGAAUAAUGGAAAAUACCUUCAGCUUCCAAAAUUAUUGUUUUACAGACAACUGGAUGUGAGCCUUUCAGCGAGUACAUCAUCUGCAGUGCAAAUAAAUGGAUCCUGUCUCCACAUCUGCAUUUACAUGGUGUGCAGCACCUGUAUUCAUACCGUGGUCCACCACAGCCAUCUACAGGUCAAUGCACAGGGAUUCCUCAGCAGACACAGAUAUUUCAAUGGGAGAAGAUUGCUGUGAAGACCUGAAAAUUACUGAUGUAGUCUAAAGCAAGCCUAAUCUCUCCAGUAAAUUCACAUUCAUGGGACUUGAAAAGCAAUGAGUUGGGAGGGACCUUGGCUAGACAAGGGACAUCCAAGAUGUGGCCAAACGAGAAAUGGCAUCAGGAUGGUAUACAACUAUUUCCAUGUCCUGUGUUAAGACUGGAAAAACCAGCAGAUUAAUCCGUUUCCCCGUAAUUAAAUAAACAACACUCUCUACGUGGCUAUAUAGAAUAAACUAAAAUGAAGAAAGAACAUGUUGUGGAAAAUAUGGAGAAGUACAACUAGAGAAGUGCAACGUACUUCAGCAGAAUCCAGGCAUUAGCAUCUCCAAGGAGUCUUCUGGGCAGUGACAAUAGUGGGAUGCAGACCCAAGCUGGCCUGGAUUUACACCCUUGGUCCCCUGGAGAAAUCAUUGGGUGGUUGUUUAAAGCUGGUACAGCAUUGAAUACAGCAGAGGAGCCUUGACCUUUAUUUGUAAGCAUGGAAAUAAGUCACUAAGCUGAACUCAUGGGCCCCAGGAUUGUACUCAAAUAGCAGGACCUGUUUCUGCUGGGGCUGAAGAGUGAGUGGAUGAGGCCAAAGGCUCUUGGUGGUCCCCAAGAGCAUAUCUGCAGAGGGUUUUGGAUGGGGCCAAGAAGAAGUGCUCACAAGUGUCCCCAGGACCACUGCAUCCCCCAGGAGAAUCUUGCAGAUAUUUUCAGGAAAUUCCUUUAUAACAAAUACGGCUACCAGAGGAACUGGUUGCAAGUCCAGGCAAUGAUGUAGGACAUUCAUGAUGGUACUAGCGUUGCUCUUCCUUCCACUUCAGUCCUAUUUUGGCACCACAAACAACUUUUUAUCCUACUUCAUCUCUACUAAUUUAUUAAAUCCUGAGUGAGACUGCAAGUCCAUUAAAAUAUUUAAAUGCUGUUUCACAUUUUGAUAAUGAUUUAAGAAACAAAUAAUGGGGAACUUUUUGUUCUUAGAAUCUUAUGGAACAACAGCACUUAUUCUACCAGAAAAUGACAUUUUAAAUCUGAAUGGAUAACCCUUGCCCAGUGAGGUUGUGCGUGCCCCCGCCCUGGAAGCAUUCAAGCCAGGUUGGAUGGGAUUUUGAGUAACCUGGUGUAGAGGGAGGUGUCCCUGCUAUAAGAGGGGGGUUGGAACUAGAUGAUCUUAAAGGCCCCUUCCAACCCAAACUAUUCUAUGAAGUUAAAACAUUAGACCUGCUGGAUUGUGUGGUUUCAUCCAAAAAGCUCAUCUUACUGUUUCAUCCCAAUCUAUUUCAUUUUUCACAUGUCAGAUAAGACGUUAAGAAGCUAGAAGUGGUAGUUUAGAACUACCAUAACAAUGAUUUAACAUGGAUAAAUGCAACAUAAACUGUACAACGUCGUCAUGUAUGUAUACUCCAUAGUUUCUAUCUUCUCUUUUAAAUGUUUUGAUCCUGAAACAAAAGUAGGGAAUCUGAGUUUUGGGAGGAGUAAAAAGUAUCCCUGACCUACAAUCUUAUUUUCAAAGCAUGACUUGGUAACCUCUUGGAAUUUCCUCAAGGUUUUGUAAAUAUUCUGCUGAGUUCUUUCAAGGUGUUAAUGUCAUCCAAAAACCAGAAAGUACUAUUUAUUCUCCACAGGACUCAAUCCAUUCUUCUUCGAAAUCCUGCAGGUAACCAGCUCCCCCCUAGGGUAAUCUCUCAUACUUCAGUAGGCACAUUUCUGCCUGUAGCCAGCAGCACUGAAGCACAUCUUACUCUCAACUGAUGGACUAAUCUGACUCUCUGAGCUACCUUGCCUUGCUCUGAAAACUGAGAUUGCAUGGGAAGAGUUUCUACCAUCUCCUGUACUUAACCAUGAUUCUCCCAACUCAUGUCACACCAAAUUUAACCGUCAACUCUAAGUAAAAUGGAUUAAAAGUCUCCGGAGAGUGAUGAUCUUCUAGAGGGAGAGGCUCCAGUGACUUUUGGAUUGCCAAAAAGAUGAAGACUUUUUUUGCCUCUUAUGAAAUUUGAAAAGAUCACCACUUUAUCUUAGGGCCAGGUCGUUUAAUUGCAACAAUUUACCACUGAUAUUAAAACCAAACGUGAUAAUUAUUAAGAAAUAACUAGCAAUUAAUAAAUGUAUUUUUAAAAUAACUAUGACCUUUCACCUUACAGAUCCAGAUUUAAUUAUUGGAAUACUUCCAUCUUUAGAAGAUUAAAAAUAUCAUUUUUCUGGUAGUCAGUAAGAUCCACUGUAUUGCCCAUAAAGAGCCAUGUCUCUGUUACUCAUUAAAUAGAAGUUUUAAAGAGUUUUUAAUUAAGGGAUGAACAAGUAAAUUCAGCCCAUAAGACAAGCAGGACAUGUAUAUGUGGAAUAAAACAAUAAAUAAAGAGAGGAUUAAAUACUUCCAAGUUGUUCAAUGAUGAAUUAAACAAAAGUCCAAAUACAAGAUUUCCUCACCCUUCCUGUUCAAGAUUUAUACCACUAAUCAGCCAAGUUUCAAAUCCUUAAUACAGUAAAGCAUUUGCCUUUAAGGCAGCAGCAAUUCAAGAUUGCUAGCAAAAUGAAUGUAUUUCCAUUAGGCAAAAUAAUUAGGUCAUAUAUUCUAACAGUAUCUUUGGACUUAAAUCUCUUUGGUGAAGGGAACUGUCAAUCACCUACAAUUCGAUCAACAAUCUUGGUCAGAAACCACCCCAUAUGUGGAAAGAAAAUUACAAGUGACUUUUCUGUCCCUUGCAUUUAUUCAAGGUCAUUCAUAAAAAAUAACAGUGAAAUGACAGGUUACAUUUUGUCCUACAAAUCUGGUGCUUUUUGAGGAAUAUAUUUGAAUACUACUUUAUGUUUAUUAAAGCCAGUAUGAGUACCUAUGCAAAUUAAAACUCUUCAAAUCUCCACAUCAGAAUGAAGUCAUGCAUUUUAGUACAACUUUUCAGGGUGUUGCAGGUUUGUAACUGUGAGCACAGUAAAUCUUUACAGUCCAUGAUUACUUGGUUGUUGACUUUGAAGUCCUCAGUGCACAAGAGAUAUGCUUACAGAACAAACACUGAGCAUUUCUGCUUGGGCAUGCUUCAGAAUCCUUCCCUAGACAGAAGCUUAGCAGAAAGGGAGGGGAUCCAUUUAUUGCCUGGCUGGUGGGAUGGGGCAUUUGAAAAGACAAGGUGUGCCUAAUUGAACAGAAAUUUGCAAUUACUUAGAAUAAAACCCCACCUCAUGCAACUAGGCACUUUAAAAUGUAUAGCUGUUAAUAUGCUUCUGCACAUCUCACUUGGAGAGUGAGCCUCAAUCCUUUAGACACUUGAGCUCAUUUUGCCACAUUUAUAAACCAUGUCAGAGGGUUGUAGCUAAUUAGGGCCUGGCCUUGCAUCUCAUCAGAGGAUAUCACCUGCCGGUGACCCCCAAGCACCACUCUGAGCACCAGUGGUGUUGGGGUGAGAUCUGAAUGGCACACAUGAGAAGGGAAGUAUGAGGGAGGGCUGAGAAAACAUGCAGAACCACUGACUUCUGUACAGGCCUCUGUGCACAGAGUGGCCAAUUAGCUAAUCACUAUUUUGCCUUCCUAUCAGAGCGGUAAAUGGAGUCACUGCAGAAUUGUUGGUGACUAAGCCAAUGAGCACAGCUGAGCCACUGACGGACACUGAACUCUCAAAUAUCAGGGUCAUAAAACAAGGUUUUACCUUGGCUGUUGCGGUUGUAAAGCGCUGUUUGAAGAUGGCAAAUCCCCCUCUUGUUGCUGUCACAGUUCUGUUCUUCCGAUCUUCAAAUUGCAGCCUGCACAUCGCCCUCCUGUGCAAGUCCAUAGGUCAUGACCCACGGCUCCUUCUGCAGUCCCACUGCUAUAGCUGCAUCAAGUAGGAAUACCAUAGGAGAUUAAUAUAACCAUAAUCACAGCUGUAAUUGGCCAUACAGGCUUGGUUAAAGCUAAUAACAGUGUGCCUACCUCUGGUGAAAUCACAUCUUCAUUUUCCUGCAGAGGCACACUUGGACAUAUUCGUACAACGAAGUCCUGGGGUGUGGGCUGCUUUGCAACAUAGAGCUGUGCUAGGUGGAAUGAUCAGUGAGCAAAAAAGAAUGCAUAAGGAAAAUCCAUCAUGUGCUCUAUCAAGUUAUCAGGAGAUUUGUGCAGAAAAGCAAACCCGUGAUGUGGCCUCCCCAUCUAGCUCUGGACUAUUUACCCUGCUGAUGAGAAAAGGCUAUUAAAUACAGAGCCUGAUAUUCCGUUACUAAUAGGGAUCCCACUUAUCUAAUUGAAAGGAAAUUGUGGAAAAGCACCACUAGAGGUCACUCAAAAUUAAUUGUUACCCAAUUAGCACAAUUUGACCCUAAAGUUCAAGACGCUCUACAGCUUUCUUGUUUAAAGUACUAUCAAUUUUGACUCUUGACUGUGAGAAAACUCAGAACAGUUGGAGACAGAAAAUGUUUUAUCAGUUCUCCCCUCAUUCAAAGGUUCCUAAAUUAGCUUUGCCUUUCUCUCUGCCAGCAGCAAAUCAUUUCUUUCUCAGCAAUGAGCUUACAGAUGCUGGCAGUGAUGGACCUCUAGAAGCAUUGUUUUUAGAGGAAUUCAGACCUAGCUGUGUUAUCUCAAGCACCUGGUCACCCAUUUUGAAAAUUAGACCAAAAUGAAUUGUACAAGUGAGGGAAUAUAUAGGAAAAAAAAAAAAAAAAAAAAAACAACCAAAAAAACAACAAAAACCUUUCCAGGAUAAAAGCCUUUUCUUUUUUUUUUUUUCUUUUUUUUUUUUUUCUUUUUUUUUUUUUAGAUAUACAUAUAUAUAGAAAAUUAUAACCACUGUUGCAUGGAAGUAUGAGUACAUGUUUUUAUAACAACUGCUUGACUAAGUAAAAGAGGUUAAAAGCAAAGUUAAAGUUUGAUUAAUGGGUAUGUGUUGAAAUAUCUCUGCGUGUAUUUAAUUAAAAGCAGAUGUUCUAUUUGCAGGGCUUUUGCCAUAAUCUGUGGUAAUGAUGAUAGCAAUUUAUUUGCCAAACCCAACAGGAAAAGCAAUAUCUAAUUAGUGUGCUCUAUAAGAUUAAGCCUACUAACCACUGGUGCACAUGCAUACAUCUCCUGAUGUUAUCAGGAGAUUGAGUCCUCCCAGUGCUCAGUAUGUAAUUCAUGGUCCUACAUAGACCAGAGUGAGGAAACAUUCCCUUCCAGUGCAGCUUGGUGUGGGAAAACUCAUGGGCAGCCACACUUCCAUGAAUGAUGCUCUAUCAGUGCUCUUAUUUCCUUCCUCAUUUCAGGUUACUGAUGAUCCUCUUAUUCUCCCCACCCCUCACUUUCAGCUUAAUGGAUAAAGGGGAGGAUUAGCUACUCAGCUUAUCAAUAUGUAUGAACAUGACAAUAGGAAAGAUUGUGGUAGUUUCUUGAAAUAUCCUUUAAUAACCUCACAAGGCCAGCCAAGGAAGGAUGCAUGGCAUCAGUGCAGCUGCAGAAAAAAACGCUAAAGCAUCAUAACAUGGGCAAGUAAUUUAUGAGGCUCUAGUCUCCUAAUUGUUUCAUCAAGGUGAUAAAUAAAUAAAUAGAUCAUCAGCAUCUGAAGAGCUGUAUGGCUUCCUUCUCUGCUUUCUAGAGAGAUUAAUCUUGCAGAGGUAGAAAGACAGUUUGCCACAAAAUCAUACUCAUAGGCUCAACAAAUGGAAUUUGGAUGUAAUUAUCAUUUUUUAAAAUGGUGAGCCACCAUCUACUUUUCUGCACAGCAAGACAGUGAAGUCAAGGAAAAUUACUCUGCAUUUAUUCUCUCCCUUAAAAUCUGUAGCAACUGAAUAAUAAGAGCUACUGCUUCAAGGUGUUCAAAUAUCCCAGGCUUCCCUCAUCUGCACAUACUGCUUCUGUGCUGGUGGCAGUGAAAGUCUUGCAACAUUCAGUCACACCUGCCUAUUCAUCAGGACAAAUUUCACUGUUUGGUGGCUACAUUACUCCCUCUCCCGCAGUACUUAGCUGGGCUUGGACUACGCAGUUAGUCCUCACCACAAAGAUUCAAGAUACUCAUGUGUUCUUGUUAUAAAAGGGGAUGGAUACAGAGAAAUAAGGGCUGUUUUACAGAAAUCCUAACUAAAACCCAACAUUAUCAGAGCUUUCCCUUCAGAAAACCUCUGCCGUUGGAACUCUUCCUCUAAAAUGAGUAAAAGUGCCAUUGAAUAUAGUCACUUACUCUUGAACGUGCACAGAAAACAUUACUGAGUGCUUCUCAUGCAACAAAGCAUACAUUUUGAAAAUCACAGAAAAAUAAGACAGCGAGCAGCUGAAGCUGUAAGGCUGAGGCAGAGAAAUGGAGGGAAAGAAAACACACUGAAGAAGAGACAGAGUUACUACAGAAGGCCAACAGCUAAAGAUUCUUACUAGAAAAAAUGAAAAUCAGGUGGGCUCAGGUAGAGAGCCCUUUCCUUUCAUUUGCAAGGAAAAUCACAGCUUUUGAUAUGCAAAGAAUUAUAGAAUUUGAUAAGACUUGAAGGUGAGCUACCUAGAGCCAACAGUUGCCCAGCUGGUUUGCCACAGGGCAAUUUUUGCUAAUUACAUAUCUCUCAUUCCCUGAUCAGUCCAUUCUUCCACCCAUUAUUGCCCUAGCAGCUACUGUGGGAUAUUCUCAGAUAGAACAAAUAAUUUCCUAUUUUGGUCAAAAACAAAGGUUAUUCAGCAAUAGAGGAAAGCAAGGUUUCUACCCAGCUGCCACAACGCAUUUCCAAGAGCUUGUCUUCCCCCCAAAAACCCACCUUUUACUCUGCAUGCCUCACCAUCCAAAAGCUGAUCUCCAGGUUAUGUCAUCUAAUACAUAGCAGCCACAGUUUUCCUCUCAAUCCCCUGUAUAAACUUAACCCAAUAAUUAGAAAGUAGGGGGAAAAAAAUGUCAAAUUUUCUUUUCUUGCUGAAAAAACACAUGCACGGAUGCUUCUUUCACCAAAUAUUUACACUGAGCCUUCAAUGACACCAUUCCUUUUAUCAAACUCUAAUUUUAAAAGCAUUCAGCACAGAGGAGUAAAUGUAGGUUUUCUACAUGGGGUUAAAAUCUUCAUAGGGGUUUAAAACCACUGCCUACACAGUGGGCUUUAGGUGCUCUGAUUUUUGCAAUAGUGCUCAAGCAUUGCUUCAAAAUGACUACUGAAAGCUGGGGGAAAUCAAAUAAUUCUGAUGUAUUAGCUGAAUUAUAAAGCAGUAACAGAGGGCACUGUAAUUGAAUGUAUGGAGAUGAUGAACAUUUGAACUCACACAGCAUAAGUCUUUUAUUUUAAAAUAAUCCAUAAACUGCUUUAGCAAUUCUCUAAAAGCAUAUAAAGAUACAGACAAUUCAUUUAAAAUGGCACUUUCAAUACAGUCUAAAAUCACAGAUUUUGAAAUGAUAAAAAAAUAUAUAUGUGUGAUACUAAAAAUAUUCAGUGCUUCUGAAUUAAAGCAUUUUUUCACUGGCUCUGCUAUAGUGAUUUCUGUUGCUUAUAUCUUGAUUUUCCUUGGGAAAUUGCAGCCAGAACUACUCUGAGCUCAUAGUUCUGGUCUAUUCAUAGAAUCAUAAAAUGGGUUGGGUUGGAAGGGACCUCAAGGAUCACCAAGCUCCAACCCCCCUGGCAGCAGGCAGGGCCUCCAACCUCCUCGUUUAAUACUAGACCAGGCUACCCAGGGCCCCAUCCAACCUGGCCUAAACCUAUUCCCAGUGAAGAGGUUCAAAUAUGCGAAGGAAUCCUGUCUUUUAAAGAAUUGUUUUUGAUAGAAGGCUCUUAAAUGAACCAAUUAUCAGAGUGUAUUUCCUAUCUAAGCUGAAAUGCAAGAAGGCCCAGCUAGAAGUAACACAGAUGUAGGAAAUCACUGUUGCAAAACUCAAUAUAAAAAUUCAAAACCUUAAGAAAAUUGGAGGAUUUGGCCAAAUCUCUUGAGUAGCAUGUUGGACCAGCUCAGCCUUACCCUUGGUACUCCUAAGCUCCAAGUGUGUGCCUGAGUGGCCCGAUCAGGAUUCCCUG
ensembl:lncRNA